AGGACAGACGACAAAGUUUAUUCACCAAGUCUGAGUGAAAUUGCUCUUUGCAUUUUACAGAUAUUGCUACAGACAGACAGACAGACAGACAGG